CUAAACUUUCGCCUUUAAUAAUAUUAGAAUGAUUAAAACCAUCAUCAUUUUGAUUUAAAACUAUAUUUUGCUAUUGACAGGUCUAUUUUACCUGGUAUUUGGUAGUUUAAUAUGAUUCUAUAGUAGUUUUCAGAAAUCUUGAAGGCUCUUAAGUUUCCAUGAGAGAUACCGUACAAAAGAAAUUUCAGGUUUAGAUGGGAGAGGAUGUUCUUCGUCACAUUGGCUUACAGAUGCCAAGUCAUUUGAAAAUAACUGUACUUAAAAUUAUAAAAUAAUUAUUGUAAUGUAGUAAAUGAAACAUCUUGUAUAAUGUUAAACUUAAAAUUGAUGAGAAAUAUAGUAAAGGCAAAUACAUACAGGACAAUUUACUAGUUUUCUUCUAAAACUAUUGUUUUAUGCAUCAUUGUAAUAAAAAUCUUUAAUGCAGGUUAAAUGUACCAGCUGGAAGCUUGUGCUGAAUUGAAGAUGAGAAGCAAAGCAGUCCUUGGCAAGGGCGUGGAGUUUGCUGGGAGAGCGAGCGGUUUGCGGGAGGGGGGGUUUUGCUGAUUGCUGACAACUGCUGAUUUGCUGUUGUUGCAGUGCAUAAGUUAUGAGUAAACUUUUAUACUUAUUGACAAACGGAGACACGCAUUACGUCGGUACAUUUGGCUGUCGCUACCAUUACCACACCACCUUUAUUAUAAAUCAAACGGGUGUUUAGCAUUUCUAUAAUUUUCAAAUAUUUUGCUAAUACAUAUUGUAAAUAGUAAAGUAGAGUGGAUGCGGCCAGUGGCGUGUUGGUUGGAGUUGAACUAAUGCGAGCAUUUGUUCGGCAGGCCGGUGCUGCUCGCUGGCCUGCUUGCUGCGGCAGUGCUGUGCUGUGCUGUGUUUGCAGAUGCGCUCGUCUAGGUUUAUUGGCGACAGCAGAAACACCCUCCUGCCCUGUUAGACCCACACCUUGACAACCUUUUCAGGAUAUAUUUUUCGAUGUGUUUCGAGUUUGCAUCAUUUUAGGUGUUUUAAGGAAUAGGUUGAUGACGCAAAUGACUAAUGGAGCUAACCUCUUCCUUAAAACUUUUCAAGAAUGAAGACACAUAGGAUAGAGGUUAAUCAGCAAAAAUGAAGUAUAAUUUUUUCUUUAAUAAAUCUAGUAAUACAAAAA